ACUGGACAAGAAAAUGUUCAUAGGGUGAAUCUCAUCAGUGCGUACAAAUAGCUGAAGUGAGGGUGUUUAAAAAUAAUAACAAUAAAAUAGAAGGCCAGAUUUCAGAAUGUGAUGGUGACUGAGGCCUGGAUGAGGCUGUCUAGAGAGGCUGUGGAGUCUCCACCCUUCUCUUCAAUCAGCACUCAGAAGCUGUCUGUGUGUGGGUGAUCAAAUCUAAAUUGAAGAGGGGUUGGACCAGAUGACUCCCAGAGGUCCUUUCUGUGUCUUUCUGUGAUUCUGGAGUGAAAAAUUUCACUAAAACUUGUUCACCGCUGUUCCACAUUAAUUACAGGGAAGGAAUAAAAAUAACAUGUCUUAAAAGUUAUAUAAGCUCCAAAUUUGCUCACAGCAUUUCAGCUGAUGUCAGGCAGAGUCAGUCUCAGGUACAAAAAUCCACAGGAAGAGGCUGGCAUGGAAGCAAGUCUGUAUUUUCAUUUUGCUGUCUCUUAAAAAGCUCAGCACUCAGCAUUUGCUUUGAAUUUCAUGUAAGGUUUCAUUCUGUAUUCCAUUAAAAUGCUGAUAAUUACGAUUGUAACUGCCAUGGUUCACAAACAGAAUACUACAGCCUUAUGCUGGAAAAAUAUUUUCUGUAUGGUGAGAGAAGUCCAAAAUGGUGACAUAAUAACAGCCAUGAGACUCUUUACUAUGAGAAAUAUCUCUUAGAUUCAUUACAAUACUCUGGGAAAGAAAAAAUAAAAGAUUUUUCUGUUUAUUUAGGAGAUGAUAAUAAAAGAACAGUACAUUUAGAUCGCAACAAAAAAAGUUAUCUGAUUUUGAGUUUUUAACUUCCUUUGAAGUAAUUAGGAAAUUCUGCUGUGUCCGUAAUGAAUAAUUACUAUAACAAUAAUUAUAGUCUAGCUUCAUUUGUUUUUAGGUGUGGUAAGGAGAAACAUAUUUAGAAAUCAGCCACAAGACAGUAAAAUUGAUUUCUGAUUUAUCUGGUACAGCUCUAUGUCUCUCACUGAACUGGGUAAUAAUUGAUUGCUUGAAGCCUUGUAGUAGUAGGUAAAAAUUGAUAAAUGUUAAAGUAGGAACAGUGUUUUAUAGGUUCUCAAGAAUUGUGGAGCCUCCAUAUUUCUUUCUCAUCACCAGCUCUAGAUCAUGAGGUGAAAUUUAAAAGAUGCUUCAUCUUCAUAAAUUACAUUCAGCGGUUCAGAGCCCUUUCUCUGCAAGAAGCAAAACAAAACCUUUAGUAACACAGCACGGAUUAGUAAUGUAUGAAGUCAGGUGAGCUUUUUAUGGUUCAACAUAUGGUUUUAGAUUAGCUGAUGUGAUUACACUGAAAACCAACCAGCCGUCUAUGUCCACAUCCAUAAUUUCUCAAGUCAAUAUCUGCAAAGUUUAUUGGUAUUGGUAGCUGUCAUCUCAUGACGUAAAGUGUUGUAAAAAUUAACAGAUUUAUCUUCUUUUUAAUAAAGAAAUUCCAAAAUAUUUUAAUAAUGUGAAUUUAUUUUAUUGCAGGAAGUUGACUUUCUAAAAGUAGAUGACUGUUCACUUUUACACUGGGAAAAACUUUAAUAUCUUUAUUAAAAUAUAGGGAGCAAGAUCUUUCCUCAUUUCCCUCCUGAUGCUCCAUAUACCAUUAGCAAAAAAAAAGUCUAAAAGUUACCCAGCUGUUCAUUUUAGAUGCCUCUCAAGGCUUUCAUCUUAAUAUAUAAGAAUAUAACAUUGGAGAGAGAUGAAAUUAUGUUAUUUUAGAUACUUAUGGGUCUCCUGCAUUGAAUGUAACUUAAUACUCAAAUUAAGGUACUACUUUAGGGGUCCCUCUCUGAUAUUUUAUACAAAGAAUAGCUUUUAAAUGACUUACAUUAAUUCUUGUCACACAGGAAAUCUGGGAUAACAAUGCAACAGUGUACAAUGUAAUUUAUAAUUGUGAGCUAAAUACCAUUGUUUGUUUGAACAACAAAUGUGAUUGAGUUGCAGAACUUUAAGGUAGUUUAUCAGCAUAAAAUCCUGAGACAAACUUUAGAAUUUACUUUAACUUAAUGUGUUCAAACUACACAAGAAAUUAAUCACAAUUAACUACUUGUUUUACAAUUGUUAGAUAUAUAUACCUGGUGUCAUGAUUUUGUGAUUUUUGGUUUUCGAUAUUCCACAUCAUAACAUCAUGUGGGGCGCUGGGAGUUUAACUGUCAAUGCUCAAGUUCUGGGUACCUGCCUGGAAAAGAAGAUGAACUACAUUCCCCAGGGGACUUUGCGGUCAUAGAAAGGAGAUAUAACUCCUGGCAAGGUGACCUGAUGCUCGUUGUCAGCUCUCCUCCCGUCUCCCUGCUGCUCAACUGGACUGCGCAUCUCACCUCAGUGUUGUGGAUUACGUAUCUGCUGCCAAGGCUGGAGGAAUCUGAAUUACAACAGGGAAGGCAAUUGAUUGGUGUUUGCAGAAGAGGCCGCUUGUCAGAAUGCUUACGUGAGCACUGCUUGUUCUCCAACAUGCUAAUGACAGCUGUGACACAGCCUUUCCAGGCCGUGAGAAUCCAGCCAAGGGCUUAAACACUGAAACCCAAUGGAAAUUAGGAAGAGCAAGCCCUGUUGUUGAGCCUAACGCAUAGUAUGAAAAGCUCUGCUGCCAAUGCAGGGUGCAAACUAGGAAGGUUUCUGACAUCAGAAGAGUGACGCAAGUGGCAGAUCCAUCUCCACGGCCUGCACAUGACAGACCCUCUGAUGAGAAAGGUGACCCAGAGGAAAAAAGAGCAAGAAAACAAAACUUUAAAGAGGCAACUGCAUAAUAAUGCAAAUGCCUAACACAGCCUACUGUCAGAGUAGGCCUGCCAGUUUUAUGGAGAAAGAGAAGGAUAUGGGAUCUGAGUCAAUAAAUCUAAGAUGCUGUAUGGAGUCCGGAGGUGGCCUCAAUGAACUUUACAAGUCUCUCCCAACUUGGGACAGUCUGUAAUUCUGCUGUUGUCUUUCAGGUUGUUUUAAAGAAUGUGUGGACAGAUCCCAGUGGACCUUGAACAGUCGAACAUCAUAUGGAAGCCUCCUCCACCUGUCUCCCUGGGGAUAGGAAGAGCUCCAGCAGUCCCAUGGGCACUGUCUUUUGAAGGUGGUUCUCAGACAGCUGAAAAGUUUUUUGAACAGUGAGAAUUCAGGGAAAGAACUCUACUACAGUGUCUUUUGUGCACGUACAGAAGAAGCUGCAACUGCUAGGGAUAAACACUGAAGAUUGUACGUUGGUC